rnacentral:rRNA from 1 species
AACGAACGCUGGCGGCGUGCUUAACACAUGCAAGUCGAACGUGAAAGUACCUUCGGGUAUGAGUAAAGUGGCGCACGGGUGAGGAAUGAAUAGGAACGUACCUAUAGGUGGGGAACAACUGCCGGAAACGGCAGCUAAUACCGCAUAAUGUUUUAGGACCAAAGGGGGCCUCUGCUUGCACGCUCCCGCCAAUAGAUCGGCCUAUUUCCCAUUAGCUAGUUGGUAGGGUAAUGGCUUACCAAGGCAACGAUGGGUAGCUGGUCUGAGAGGAUGAUCAGCCACACUGGAACUGAGACACGGUCCAGACUCCUACGGGAGGCAGCAGUGGGGAAUCUUGCACAAUGGGCGAAAGCCUGAUGCAGCAACGCCGCGUGAGUGAAGAAGGUCUUUGGAUUGUAAAGCUCUUUCGGCUAGAAAGAAGGGAUUUUUUGUUAAUACCAAAAGAUUCUGACGGUACUAGAAGAGGAAGCACCUGCUAACUACGUGCCAGCAGCCGCGGUAAAGU